UGCAGUCGAGCGAUGAACCCCUUCGGGGGUGGAUUAGCGGCGGACGGGUGAGUAACACGUGGGUAACCUGCCUCAAAGUGGGGGAUAGCCUUCCGAAAGGAAGAUUAAUACCGCAUAAAGCCAAGUUUCACAUGGAAUUUGGAUGAAAGGAGUAAUUCGCUUUGAGAUGGACCCGCGGCGCAUUAGUUAGUUGGUGGGGUAAUGGCCUACCAAGACAGCGAUGCGUAGCCGACCUGAGAGGGUGAUCGGCCACAUUGGAACUGAGAUACGGUCCAGACUCCUACGGGAGGCAGCAGUGGGGAAUAUUGCACAAUGGGCGAAAGCCUGAUGCAGCAACGCCGCGUGAGUGAUGAAGGUCUUCGGAUUGUAAAGCUCUGUCUUUUGGGACGAUAAUGACGGUACCAAAGGAGGAAGCCACGGCUAACUACGUGCCAGCAGCCGCGGUAAUACGUAGGUGGCGAGCGUUGUCCGGAUUUACUGGGCGUAAAGGGUGCGUAGGCGGAUGUUUAAGUGAGAUGUGAAAUACCCGGGCUUAACUUGGGUGCUGCAUUUCAAACUGGAUAUCUAGAGUGCAGGAGAGGAGAAUGGAAUUCCUAGUGUAGCGGUGAAAUGCGUAGAGAUUAGGAAGAACACCAGUGGCGAAGGCGAUUCUCUGGACUGUAACUGACGCUGAGGCACGAAAGCGUGGGUAGCAAACAGGAUUAGAUACCCUGGUAGUCCACGCCGUAAACGAUGAGUACUAGGUGUAGGAAGGUAUCGACCCCUUCUGUGCCGCAGUAAACACAUUAAGUACUCCGCCUGGGAAGUACGAUCGCAAGAUUAAAACUCAAAGGAAUUGACGGGGGCCCGCACAAGCAGCGGAGCAUGUGGUUUAAUUCGAAGCAACGCGAAGAACCUUACCUGGACUUGACAUCCCCUGAAUAACCUAGAGAUAGGCGAAGCCCUUCGGGGCAGGGAGACAGGUGGUUGCAUGGUUGUCGUCAGCUCGUGUCGUGAGAU
rnacentral:rRNA from 1 species